GCGAGAGAAGGGAAAAAGGAAAUAAAUAAGCCGUCUCACUCAAACUGGCCUUUCUGGGCAAAGGAUCCGUCCCCGAUGACUGUCCGGAUAAGCGGAACUAAAUCCAGCCACCACUCAACACCACCACCGCGCUCUUCCACGAGAUUCUGCAUUUCCUUCGGUAACCUGGAUGUCUUGGAGUCAGGAGCCACGUCUCUUCGUGCACGGACGCUCGGAGGAACAGAUCUUUGUGCCGUGGCGUAGGGGGAUCGGGCUUUGAUAAGGCAUCGCUUUUGGGGUGGUCGUCCUACCUUUCCUUGAGGGGCUGCCCGGACAUCUGGAGAGAAGCAGCCACGUCCAGAGAGGAGCUGGGAAGGAGAACAGAAAGAGGGGAACAUCACUUUUCUUGCACAGAAAGCAGCCGCGGAACGGCCGAUGCCUGGAAGAGGGUCGUCUCAUCGCCUGAGGCUGCCGCGAUCUCAAGCUGUCCUUGAGGCUGAGGAGACAGUCAGGUCUUCAGUUCGCAUCGUCUCCUCCUGCACCGAGCACAGAGGCAGGUGGUGCCAGCAAUGCCAAGCCAGCGACGCGGCGCGGAAUGGGGCGAGACCCCUGUACUGCUCUGUGGAGAGCAGCAAACCCACCAGAGGACUGGCUCAGCCAAAGAGCUCCUUCUUUCUGCUAAGGAGCCCAAGACGCAGCACGGCGUUGUGUUAUAGCCUCCAGGAUUGCGUUCAUCCAGGGACUGCUCCGUGACUCAGUUGUAUGAGCCACCUACUCACGGAAAAUCUCUCUCUCCAUCUCAUGGGUGCAAGAGAAACAAUGAAAUGAGUCGGUGCAUCAGCUCCUGGUAUACGGUUCUAUUUUUUUUGUGUUUUUCCUUCAAGAUGUAAAGGGUUUAAGCAAGUGGUUCUUUUCUGUUCUAUCCUCCAUUCUAGAAGGGUAAUUUGGUACAAAGAGGACAGAUCUGAGCUUGUGGUUUAAGUUUGUGGCACCCAGUUCUGAAGUCUGGGUUAAGAACCAGAUCCAAGAGGAAGCUUAGGCUGUGCCCUCCAAGCCCUGGUUGCUGGUCAGAUGUGGCCGGUUGGCCCCUGCUCAGGAAGUACAUUCUGGUUUGGACAAGUUCCCAGCUCUCCCAUGCUUCGAGUUAGAGGGUGGUUCUUCCUGAUGUGAUAAUCAGUACCAACCUAACUCACUUCUAGGCAAACCCUGGUGAGGAGAUAAGGGCUCCUGUGCAUUCACACAGAAUAAGCCAACAAUUCAGACUAACACCCUGUCCUAGAGCAGAGACAGGUAAGGAAGAGACGCGAGCCAAAGGCAAGUUCUAAUCCUUCUGGGUUCCCCAGGCAGGUGGCACCAUGAUCUGACAACAGACUCAGGAGCAGGCAGCGUGUUUCAGAGCUCUGGGACGUGACAAGGGACAGGGAAUCGUUGUUUCUUCUCUUUUGUAGGAGCAGAUGGGACUUUCCCUCUGCUGUAUUCCAAAGUUGGGUCAAGACUGAGUGGACCUGUAACAUGAUCAGGGCUGCGUCGAUUCUUCAAAGCCAUCUCAGGCCAUUGUCACUGCCAGGGAAAGGCAUGAGAUCAACACAUUGGGGGCACACAGAGGACACCUUCUCAGGGCUGCAAAAAGGAAUUAGAGACCCCAAAUUUCACCCCGAGCAAUGCACAGGGAGACCCAGACCUGACUGCGUGGACCACGAGACUCCCCAGAACGAAACAAUUUAAGGCUUCUCUUCUUUUUAGGAUGGGGCGUAGCUGGGACUUGACUUCCCAGGCCGGGCGACAGCUGGUGGGUGGGGAUGCGGCCGUGUCUAGUGGUGAAGGAAUGCAGUCCUCUCCCCGUAAAUCUGGCUCUUCAGCAGCCCUGGCGACUUGCUGUGCAAAACUACAGCGUGGUGCUCUGAGAUGCAUUAUUAUCCUCGAGCUGCUUGCGAAGGGGCAGGGCUCCUACCCGCAAAUUGCUUGGAAGGUACCAAAAUAGCACCACAAGCAUGGGAACAGAGUGGCGGAUCCACUCGGUGUUUAAGAGCUAUCCCCUAGAAAAGAACUAAUCCUGCGUGCCCCAAGCGGAAUCAGCGCUGUCCCCUCCAUUGCACUGAUGUUAACACGGAGAAUCUCAAGCAGUGAAACUGCGUGAGCUGGAAUCCAUGAAUAAAAUAUUACUGGAGAUAUUCUCCUGCGCAAUUAAA